CCACACCCGGCUGCUGAUGUCGGCCUCGAAGGGGAGGUAGCCCCUUUCAUGCUCUAGCGUGUCAACCCCAUUUACCCACUGCAGACAUAGGAGAUAUGCGUGGGCAGGGUAGGUUGGGGCAUGAGGUGGGGCUCUGCUAUCGGGCACUCCCUCACAUAACCUGCAGCAUGGGGCUCAGGGGCCUGCCAGCCAGACCAGAAGAAUGACAUCCCAGUGGGGUAGAUCAGGCCACCUAUCCCCCUACACAGGGCACAGCCCCCAGGGCAGGGUAAGGCCCCCCACCGUCCCACUCCAGGAGACAGGCUGUGGGUGGCAGCUGGGGGUCCCAUGCUGUUCAGCAACCGUGCCCACCAUCAACAACACACUCACCCCCCACCCUGCCACCAGGGACCAUCUGUACAUGACCGACACCUCCAAGUGGGUACCAUCCUGCCUCCACUGCACGCACCCACCUUCCUGCUUCCUUCUAGGGUCAGGGUGGUCUUCGAAGAGAGGAGGCCCUGGAUCUGGGGAGGCAUGUGAGCUGAGGGCAAAAGGCCCAUGGCAAGGGCCCAGUGAACCACAGUCCUCCCGCCCUAGGUAUCCCAAGGGUUACUUUGUCCAGAACGCAGACUGACUUCUUCAACUACGCGGGACUGUCGUGGUCUGUGCUUGUAUACACGACACCCACCGCCUACAUCGAUGACAUCACUGUCACCACCGGCGUGGAGCGAGACAGUGGUGAUGGCUUCUGGGUCUCAGGACUUGUCCUCAGUAUUGUGAUGCUGAACUGGAUGGCCACUCUCUUCCUCAUCCCUUCCAAGGGAGGUGGGUGGACAUCCCUUCUCCAGGAUCCACGUGUGCUGCUGCUGAGUAUGUCAUCUCCUCUAGGAUUUUGCAUGUGAUUAAAAGCAACUUUUACUGGGAGACGAGUCAAUUCUAGGCAAAAUAUUCUACUCAUUCACUCAUCUUUUGUUAAAAUACUGAAUUUCCCUAUUAUUUUAGAGAUAAUAAUCACCACUAACCCUAUGAUGUUUCUCCUUCCGGUCUUCCCUUUCUAUUGACUGUGUGUGUCCAUUGAGUGGGUUGCUGCCGAUGCUCACACCAGCCCCGACAGUGGGACAGUCCAUGCUGGGGUUUAGCACAUGGUGGGUGCUGAUGCCCUCUAACCUAACUGUGCAGGAGAUCUCCACCUAGGGUGAUGGGCACCAGGCUAACAACAAUGUUGUCCUUUGAGUUCCGAUUAGGCACUUCCUUUUGUGUAUGUGUGCUACUGGAUUUGAGCAUUUCUAAGGCUUCAACUGUUCAUGUUCUUAAAUAAAAGAUCUUCCUGAGACUUCCCUGCAGUUGACCAGUGUUGAGGCAUGACCCCAGCAAUGACGGAUGUUGACCUACAGUGUUCUACACGGUGCCUCACACCUCUCACGAUCUGUGAGCUGACCAGAAGCCUGUGGUCUUUCUGUGUGUGUGUCACAUUAAUGAGCAUGCCAACAUCUGUUGUUACAG